AUGUCAAAACUGCUCUCUUUUCCUUUCUCCCUUCCUCUCUCUCGCUCGCUGUCUCUAUCUCUUCCCUUCUCCCUCUCCCUCUUUCUCUUCCUUUCUUCCUUCCUCUCUCUCUUGCUCUUCCACUCUCUCUUCCCUUCUCCCUCUCUUUCUCCUCCCUUCUCCCUUCCCCUCUCUCUCUCUCUCUCUCUCUUCCCUUCUCCCUUCCUCUCUCUCUCUCUCUCUCUCGGUCUUCCCUUCUCCCUUCCUCUCUCUGUUCCUCCCUCUCUCGCUCUUCCUUUGUCCCUACCAACCUACCUACCUCUAUCUCUCUCCCUUUCUCCCUUCCUCUCUCUCUCUUCCUUCACCUACCUACCUACCUACCUACCUACAUCUCUCUCUCUCUCUCUCUCUCUCUCUCUCCAGGUGCAGGGUAUGAGUGGGAGGAUGACUUCCCCCUUUUGCCCAUUCCAACUUCCUCAUCCAAGAUGGCUGCCUCCUCCUCAGGCUCAUCCCCCUCCGUACCCAGGCUGCCCUUCACCUCUAAGGCCCCGGAGCCCAAACCAGCAGUGCGGUACUCCCGCUUCACAGUCUCCCCAAGCCACGUGUCUCGCUUCUCCAUCACACACGUCUCUGACUCUGAUGUGGACUCUGGUCCAGGGAGCAGUGAGGAUGGAGACAGAGUAUUAUAGAACCACACAGCCACCCAGAAACUGCAGGAACUGCACCGUAUAAACAUGUCUGAGCCUCUAAACAUGACUUUUGUUUGGUGCUUUUUUUGGACAUCAGCUUUCUGAAAAGACAGUGCCUGAUUGUUUAUGAACACUUUUUGAACGGAGUCUGUACAAUGGAUGUGAAAGCAGAGAAUCAACACCGAUGAGAAUAUAUAAAAUACUAAAGGAUGAUAAUGUACACAUACACAGAAGAAUAUCUGUUUUUCAAAAUAACUUGAAUGAUGGUAAAGACGAAGAGAGAAACUAAAGGACAAACGUGUUGCUCGUUUGCCACCAUAGACACUCAUUAUCAGCAUGUUAUGGAGAACCACACAACAUUACCGCUUGUUACGUGGAAG
rnacentral:lncRNA from 13 species